GCGCGGGGCUCUGCCGCCUCGUCCUCCCCCCUCCGCCAGCUCAGCGUCAUCCCCCGGACUCGCUGCAGCGCUGGGACGCGGGUAACUACCCUAACUGGAGAGGACAUCAAAAUCUGCACAUUGAAUGAAAGAAUGGUGCUUCUGAUGAUUGCAAUUUGGAUUUAGAACCAGAUGGAAAAAACUGGAAGGGGACCGAGGGAUACAGAUAUACGGAUUUGAUUUUGAUUUCCUUGGAACCUCCUGAGCCUGAAAUGAUGGAGGGAUUCUGAAGAUGAAGCCAGCGAUGAGUGAGAAUGGACAAACAAGAAAACUAAAACAAAUUCUAGAAAAAUGUCACUCUGUCUUCACAGAUGA